GGACUGUUCACGUGACCGCUUUAUACUGCGCUGUGUCAUAUGCUGUGGGGACGGCUGUUAACGUGACGCUCUUAACUUGAUGCUGUUGACGUGGUCGGGACUCUGUUCACGUGACUGUUGUUAACAUGACGCUUAUAACUGCGCUGUGGCGGACAUGACAGCUCACAGCUCCUCAGAAGCUCCGUGCACCGUGAGCUGUCCAGUGAGGGGAUGGUUUCAUGUUCAAAUCUUCAUUUACCGUCCACAUUAUCAGAUGAGGACGUCACCAAAGAGUGUCCUUUGAGUCGAUGUUUACAUUUAUGUACAGAUAAUUAAGAACAUUUAGUUUAUCGUAAAAUGCUAAUUAUUUUCUCCUGCCACCUUUCAGACAUUGUCAUCCAAUUUGGAUGGAACAACUUCGUGACCUUAAUGACACCCAGCAACACGAGACGCACACAAGCACCACAGGGGAGGAUCUGCAGCAAAGGGCCCACCGGAAAUCAAACCUUGGCCGCUAUGAUGACGACAACAUGGGGCACUUGAGUGUGUGACUACGACUACCAGCAUGAACCUCAACACCUUCUUUGCUGUUCCACCAGUGUGACCCAUGAUCAGAUGCAAGUUGUCAAGGAUAAACGGUGGUAAGUGGUUUUAAGUUCAGUGUGUUAAUUUAACAACAGAAUAAAUUGUUAUUGUUGUAACCACUUUGUCAUGUUGUAAAUGCUAUUUAAAGUUAUAUUAUUGUUAAUCUUUUCAAUUGUCUUUUUUCUGGCUGUAGAGAGAAU